rnacentral:misc_RNA from 1 species
GCAGCAUUAAAAAUAAAUAGUCCGAAUAUCUCGCAAAACAAAAAGUUGAUAGAACAAAGCAUGAUGAGGAGACAUAAAUAAGGCACAGCAACAGUCAAAUGCUCACCUUUGCCAAGCUCUCUGAAACAAUAAAACUAAACAGAUGUAUUUUCCUCCCACAUUCACUUGUAAAAAGGUUUUACACAGAGGAAUCAAUCAUGUUCUCUGUAAGUAAUUUUUCCUCUACAAGUAAAAUCCAAGCAGCAAAACCUCAAUAUGCAUUAUUUGCAACAUCAAAUGUACACACUAUGUAUAGAACUUGAAUCAAAACCUCAGAUGGCGCUGAUUGGUUGGUCUGAAAUAAAUCAGCCCCUAGCAUUACCAUGUCGUUGGUUUCUGAAGUAUUGAAGUAAUGCCUGAGCCUUUUCUUUAGCCCUUGGAGUGCCAGACUGUGACAAAGCCACUAAUGGCGGUACAGCACCUUCUUGAAGCACCAUGUUGCAAAACCUACUACUGUUCGUGCAAAGCUGCAAAAGAGCAGCAGCUGCAUUUUCCUUACCUCUUGCAGAACCCAACUCAACAACCUCAACCAGAACAGGGAUCCCACCCUCUUGACCAAUUGCAGUCCUUCCCUCAGCAAUUGUUGCAAGAUUAGCCAAAACAGCAACUGC